UACGGGGGGGGCAAGCGUUGUUCGGAAUUACUGGGCGUAAAGGGCUCGUAGGCGGUCGUUCAAGUCGAGUGUGAAAGCCCCCGGCUCAACUGGGGAGGGUCACUCGAUACUGAUCGACUUGAAGGCAGGAGAGGGAAGCGGAAUUCCCGGUGUAGUGGUGAAAUGCGUAGAUAUCGGGAGGAACACCAGUGGCGAAGGCGGCUUCCUGGCCUGUUCUUGACGCUGAGGCGCGAAAGCUAGGGGAGCAAACGGG
rnacentral:rRNA from 1 species